AUUAUGGCAGGUUGCCCUACACAGGCUGAAUGGAGAAUCCUAAACAGUAACCACUGGUUUAAGAGUCUUCUAACUUCUUUUUUUGGGGUGUGUCAAUUCAGCAAAGUUGUUGAGAAGCAAUGGAUCAACUCGUUCACCAAAAUGGACUAAGGUUUUGUGUGCUCAACAAGUUGGAAGUACGGCAUGUG